GACGAACGCUGGCGGCGUGCUUAACACAUGCAAGUUGAACGGGCAUACAUGGAAGCUUGCUGAAGUGUAUGUUAGUAGCGGACGGGUGAGUAAUGCAUGAGAAGCUGCCAUUGGGAGGGGGACAACAGUUGGAAACGGCUGCUAAUACCCCGUAUGCCGGAAGGUAAAAGGGAGCGAUCCGCCCGAUGAGGUGCUCAUGUCCUAUCAGCUGGUUGGUGGGGUAACGGCCUACCAAGGCGACGACGGGUAGCCGGCCUGAGAGGGUGAACGGCCACACUGGAACUGAGAUACGGUCCAGACUCCUACGGGAGGCAGCAGUGGGGAAUAUUGGGCAAUGGGGGAAACCCUGACCCAGCGACGCCGCGUGAGGGAAGACGGCCUUCGGGUUGUAAACCUCUUUUGUACGGGAAGAAGGAAGUGACGGUACUGUACGAAUAAGUCCCGGCUAACUACGUG
rnacentral:rRNA from 1 species